CGAACGCUGGCGGCGUGCUUAACACAUGCAAGUCGAACGUGAUUUUUGUGGAAAGCCCUUCGGGGACGGAAGCGAAAUGAAAGUGGCGAACGGGUGAGUAACACGUGAGCAACUUACCUUACACAGGGGGAUAGCCGUUGGAAACGACGAUUAAUACCGCAUGAGACCACAAAGCCACAUGGCUUAGGGGUAAAAGAUUUAUCGGUGUAAGAUGGGCUCGCGUCUGAUUAGCUAGUUGGAAGGGUAAAGGCCUACCAAGGCAACGAUCAGUAGCCGGUCUGAGAGGAUGAACGGCCACAUUGGAACUGAGACACGGUCCAAACUCCUACGGGAGGCAGCAGUGGGGAAUAUUGCACAAUGGGGGGAACCCUGAUGCAGCGACGCCGCGUGAGCGAAGAAGGUUUUCGAAUCGUAAAGCUCUGUCCUAUGAGAAGAUA
rnacentral:rRNA from 1 species